UGUUGAUAGAGUUGAAAUUUUGAAGGGAUAUCCAUUGAUGAGCUCUCAUUGCUUGUUUCUUGUUCCUCCUCUUCCUCUUCUACUUCUUCGUCAACUUCUUCUUCCUCUUCUUCUAGUUCUCUGGCAGAAGGUGAGGGAAGGGGAUAGCUGUUGAAAUCACCAUCUUCCAUAACUUCUCCUUCUGAAGUAAACUUGAAGUCCCUUCGACGAGAAUGUCCAUCGUGAUGUUUCUGCUUCUUGUCUCGCUUUCCCAUUUCUCCCUCCUUUUCCGCCGCCG
rnacentral:misc_RNA from 1 species